UACGGAGGGGGCUAGCGUUGUUCGGAAUUACUGGGCGUAAAGCGCACGUAGGCGGCUUUGUAAGUUAGAGGUGAAAGCCCGGGGCUCAACUCCGGAAUUGCCUUUAAGACUGCAUCGCUAGAAUUGUGGAGAGGUAAGUGGAAUUCCGAGUGUAGAGGUGAAAUUCGUAGAUAUUCGGAAGAACACCAGUGGCGAAGGCGGCUCACCGGCUCGUAACUGACGCUCAUGCACGACAGCGUGGGGAUCAAACAGG
rnacentral:rRNA from 1 species